AUUGGGUGUUUUGAUGAGUUCGUCAUCUGGAACUGAGCUAGCUUUAAAAAGAGAACCGGCAUUAAUUCCUUGGAAAGAGAUUCCAUCUGAUGAGGUCUCGAAAACCUGUGACGGUAAAGAACGCCAAAAUUGCCAAGGAAAGCAUGAACAGCGGAGAGAAAAGUGGAGGAGCAUCGGAUUGCAGAGUAGAUGUGGCAUUGGAAUUCAUGAGAUUAGCUAGGAUCAGAGAUGACCAAAAUCAUGCUCGUGAGAUGGUGUAUGUUUACGCAGACAGAUGUAAUAGUGGAGGCGAUACCUUGCAACAAAAUUAUCCGUUGAUAAAAGAUCACGAUGAAAUUACGGUUUGGGUUCUUCGAAGUUGAUUUGAUUUUGCCAUCUCGUCGGUGGAUUUGAGCUCUGUUCAGUACCAUUUUGGGUGUUACUCUUCAUCUCUACGUUG
rnacentral:lncRNA from 1 species